rnacentral:rRNA from 1 species
UACGUAGGGGGCAAGCGUUGUCCGGAUUUACUGGGCGUAAAGAGCGCGCAGGCGGUCGUUCAAGUCGAGUGUGAAAGCCCCCGGCUCAACUGGGGAGGGUCAUUCGAUACUGAUCGACUCGAAGGCAGGAGAGGGAAGUGGAAUUCCCGGUGUAGUGGUGAAAUGCGUAGAUAUCGGGAGGAACACCAGUGGCGAAGGCGACUUCCUGGCCUGUUCUUGACGCUGAGGCGCGAAAGCUAGGGGAGCAAACGGG